ACAUGCUUACAACAUAGCGUUGAUUCAUUGGAUCCCAUUAGAGCUCUGUAGUGAAGCGCACUCAGGCUAGAGUAGUACUAGGAUGAUGACUACCUGGGAAUUCCUAGUAUUUUACAUGCC
rnacentral:rRNA from 1 species